rnacentral:rRNA from 1 species
AGUCGAACGAUGAAAUUCUCUGCUUGCAGAGAAUGGAUUAGUGGCGAACGGGUGAGUAACACGUGGGUAACCUGCCCAUAAGAGGGGGAUAACAUUCGGAAACGGAUGCUAAUACCGCAUAUGUCUUUGAGACGCCUGUCUCUUAGAUGAAAGGUGGCUUCGGCUGCCGCUUAUGGAUGGACCCGCGGCGUAUUAGCUAGUUGGUAAGGUAAUGGCUUACCAAGGCUUUGAUACGUAGCCGACCUGAGAGGGUGAUCGGCCACACUGGGACUGAGACACGGCCCAGACUCCUACGGGAGGCAGCAGUAGGGAAUCUUCCACAAUGGGUGAAAACCUGAUGGAGCAAUACCGCGUGAGUGAAGAAGGUCUUCGGAUCGUAAAGCUCUGUUGUUAGAGAAGAAUAAGUCGGGUAGUAACUGCCCCGACCUUGACGGUAUCUAACCAGAAAGUCACGGCUAACUACGUGCCAGCAGCCGCGGUAAUACGUAGGUGACAAGCGUUGUCCGGAUUUAUUGGGCGUAAAGCGAGCGCAGGCGGUCUUUUAAGUCUGAUGUGAAAGCCCACGGCUCAACCGUGGAAGGUCAUUGGAAACUGGAAGACUUGAAUGCAGAAGAGGAAAGUGGAAUUCCAUGUGUAGCGGUGAAAUGCGUAGAUAUAUGGAGGAACACCAGUGGCGAACGCGACUUUCUGGUCUGUAAUUGACGCUGAGGCUCGAAAGCGUGGGGAGCGAACAGGAUUAGAUACCCUGGUAGUCCACGCCGUAAACGAUGAGUGCUAAGUGUUGGAGGGUUUCCGCCCUUCAGUGCUGGAGCUAACGCAU